rnacentral:tRNA from 1 species
AUUUUAUUAGCAUAUUUAAAUGCGUUAAAUUUAGAAUUUAAACAAAUUUUUAAUAUAAAAUA